GGCGUACGGGUGAGUAACACGUGGAUCAUAUACCUUUUAGUGGGGAAUACCCUUGGGAAACCGAGGACAAUACCGCAUAAUCCCGAGAGGGGAAAGCAGCAAUGCGCUGAAAGAGUAGUCCGCGGCUGAUUAGCUAGUUGGUAGGGUAAAGGCCUACCAAGGCUGUGAUCGGUAGCCGGCCUGAGAGGGCACACGGCCACACUGGCACUGAAACACGGGCCAGACUCCUACGGGAGGCAGCAGUGGGGAAUCUUGCACAAUGGACGAAAGUCUGAUGCAGCGACGCCGCGUGAGCGAUGAAGCCCUUCGGGGUGUAAAGCUCUUUCGACAGGAACGAUAAUGACGGUACCUGGAGAAGAAGCUGCGGCUAACUACGUGCCAGCAGCCGCGGUAAUACGUAGGCAGCAAGCGUUGUUCGGAAUUACUGGGCGUAAAGCGUGCGUAGGCGGUGGCUCAAGUUUGGUGUGAAAUCUCCCGGCUCAACUGGGAGGGUGCGCCGAAAACUGAGUUGCUCGAGUGUGGGAGAGGUAGGCGGAAUUCC
rnacentral:rRNA from 1 species